CUACAACUACGGUGCGACUGCAGUAUUGCAACCAUAGAAAAGUAGGACUUUUCAUCAACCAAAGUCCGCGUUACGUAAAAAAAUAAUGUCGAAUAAUACUAUGUACUCAUCUUUUAUAGCUGUUGAGGCAUUAGAUGUUGCUUACUAUACUGCUCUAGUUGUUCUUCUAUGAAUGUUGAUAAACCAAGUUUUUUCAGUUUUCCAAAAGAUUCUGCAUAAUGUGAUAUUUGGAAGUAAUUCUGAACAUUGGAUGACAUCAGAUAAAGAAACUCUGAUUAAAAGCAAUAAAUCAUGUUCUAAACAUUUCACAAAAUGGAUUACAAAAAAUCCAAAACAAAAUAGACUUGCCAAAUGCAAUUCUGACAUUGUUUCAAAAUAAUUUUCUAUUUAAACUGAGAAUUUGGCGCAUUUGUCUAAUUCUCAAUAUUCAACACUUGAAUUAUUUAUUCAGAGUCGUGAAGUGUCAAUUGAAACCGUUUCUUCAGAUGCUCAAACUUCAAAUUCUUUAUCUGCCAGAUAUCUCCACAGAAUCGUUAAUUGGAAAAAAAAACCUUGCCAAUACUCUCAGCUCAAAUAAAGAAGUUUGAAAAACAAUAUUGGUGAAGAGAAGUUCAGUAGAUACAACUGUUCUCAACCAUAGGGUCAUCAAAAAAUUAGUUAUAAUAAUAUUAUUAACAUAAGUAAUAUGAGUAAAAAAAAAAUUAUUUAAUUAAGCGUAAUAGAGUUUCUAUUAUUUAUAGAAAUUGAUAAAAUUAUAGUAGCGGAGGUAGGCCAGCAUUGAACAUUAUUUUCAGAAGUUAAAAAUUUAAUAGUUUUCUUUAUUAAUUGUUUUGUUUGAAAUAUUGGUCUUAAUGUAAAAACUCAAUAAUUAUUUUACCUAGAUUAUUUUCAACAUUGGAGCAAAUUGUUUAGAGACCUUGAUCAAACUUUAUGUAAAAUGAUUGACUAACCUCUAUUAAUAUUUUUAAUGUAAUAAGUCGUCAUCACCAAAAUCUUUUUAAAUUGUAUUAAAUUGUUGUACAGUAGAUUAUAGGCAUUUAAAUAUACUAGAAAAAAUGCUUUCACUGUUUCACAUACGUAUGUGGAUAUUUAAUAAGCAUUAUUAUUAUUAAUAUUUAAUAAAUUUGGAGAAACGGGUUUGUGAAAUUUGUAUCAAUUAUGCCAAAUAUCUAAAACCAUUAGAUCAGUCUUUUUUAUUAUCUUUCUUUAAAUCUUAUUCUUAUUCUUACAACUCAACUAACUUGGUUAAUUAUUAACACCCCGUGACAAUUUUCACAAUUAUACUAUAGACUUAGAACAUAUUUUGUAGACAAUUUUUGCAAUAGAAGACAAUGUUGAGACCCAAUUAAAAGAUUUUUUUUUAAUAAUUUUGUAAUUUAUUGUAUAAUUUAUUGAAAUAUUAACUUAUUGUGAUCCUUAUGAAUGGAAAAUUUAUGAAAUUAAUUUUAACUUUAUGACUUGUGACUGUUUUAUGAAAGUUUAUUUUUAAUCUUGUGACUGCGAUUUCGUGAAUAAUAUUAAUUCUGGAAUUACAAAAACUAUUAUUAUAUUUAGCAGUAAAACUCUAUAACUCAUUGUAAAAUAUAACAGACUAUAAUACUGUAUAGACAUAUGUGUGUAUAAAUAUAAUAUUCUUUAUAUGAAGGAAAGUUCUUAAUUAUGGUUGUGGUGAGAGAUCAAUAUUCAAUAUACGGUUAUGUUGAGCCAGUAGGUAAGUUGUCAGUACUUAUUACAACAAUAUGUGAAACUAGGUGAAUGAUAAAGGAACUUGACCCCCCCCCCCUCCUCCCACUCAACAAUAUAUAAAUUUGAUUUGGAUAAUAAGUCACGAAAAAUGUAUUCUUCACUAUUGGCUAAGAACUGCAAGACUGUUUCUCAAAUUUAACAAAUACAUAGAUUACCUUAUCUUAAGGAGUGUCUUUUUUUAAUGAGAACCAAUCUUUUUACUAUAAAUUAAGCUGAUUUUUUACUUAUUAUUCUAAAUAAUAAUUUAAAAUAUGGUUCUUAAGUAUAUUUAAAAAAUCAAAUAAUCAGAAUUAAUACAUUAUUAAAAAAAAAAAAAUUGGUCUAAGCAGAAUGGGUGAAUCAUACUGGAUAAAUAUUAUAAUAUAAUAUAAUAUAAUUAUUGAUUUCAAUUUAUGGUUAUUACAAGCCAUUUGCAAAUAUAUCAACUAAAUAUAGGGGUGUAG